rnacentral:rRNA from 1 species
GCUGGCGGCAUGCUUAACACAUGCAAGUCGCACGGGCAGUAGCAAUAUUGUCAGUGGCGGACGGGUGAGUAACGCGUAGGAAUCUAUCUUUGGAUGGGGGACAACCGUGGGAAACUACGGCUAAUACCGCAUAAUGCCUGAGGGCCAAAGCUUGAGAGAGCGUCUGAAGAGGAGCCUGCGUCUGAUUAGCUAGUUGGUGGGGUAAAGGCCUACCAAGGCUUCGAUCAGUAGCUGGUCUGAGAGGAUGAUCAGCCACAUUGGGACUGAGACACGGCCCACACUCCUACGGGAGGCAGCAGUGGGGAAUAUUGGACAAUGGGCGCAAGCCUGAUCCAGCAAUGCCGCGUGGGUGAAGAAGGUUUUCGGAUUGUAAAGCCCUUUUGGCGGGGACGAUGAUGACGGUACCCGCAGAAUAAGCUCCGGCUAACUUCGUGCCAGCAGCCGCGGUAAUACGAAGGGGGCUAGCGUUGCUCGGAAUGACUGGGCGUAAAGGGCGCGUAGGCGGACUGCACAGUCAGGCGUGAAAUUCCUGGGCUUAACCUGGGGACUGCGUCUGAGACGUGUGAUCUAGAGUGAGGAAGAGGGUCGUGGAAUUUCCAGUGUAGAGGUGAAAUUCGUAGAUAUUGGAAAGAACACCGGUGGCGAAGGCGGCGACCUGGUCCUUGACUGACGCUGAGGCGCGAAAGCGUGGGGAGCAAACAGGAUUAGAUACCCUGGUAGUCCACGCUGUAAACGAUGUGUGCUUGAUGUUGGGGUGCUUAGCACUUCAGUGUCGGAGUUAACGCGGUAAGCACACCGCCUGG